GUGUUCGUUUCAGCAGCACAUAUACUAAAAUUGGAACUAUACAGACAAGAUUAGCAUGGCCCCUGCACAAGGAUGACAUGCAAAUUUGUGAAGUGCUCCUUAUUUUU
ensembl:snRNA U6 U6 spliceosomal RNA